ensembl:lncRNA novel transcript
UUUUUUUUUUUUUUUGAGAUGGAGUCUCGCUCUGUCACCCAGGCUGGAGUGCAGUGGCGCAAUCUCAGCUCACUGCAGGCUCCGCCUCCCAGGUUCACACCAUUCUCCUGUCUCAGCCUCCUGAGUAGCUGAGGCGAGAAGAUCCCUUUAGCCAAGGCGUUAGAGGCCGUAGUGAGCUAUGAUCAUGCCACUGCACUGUAGCCUAGGUGACAGAGUGUGACCUCAUCUCAAAAAAAAGAAGAAAAGAUCCAGACAUUUAAGGAAAUUUCUGUCAGGUUACAGGCUGACCAGAGACAAUAAAAAGACCAAGAACCUCAGGAAUACAGACUUCGCAAAAAUAACUUGGAAAAUUCACUACACAAAUGAACUGCAGCCCUCAACAAGUAACAGAAGCAAUCCCUGAGGAGAGGGAUAAUCUGAUUUCCAGAGCUACUGCAGUGUCAUAUUCAAACUGUACAGUCCUCAACACAAAAUUACAAAGCACACAAAUAAAAUGGAAAAUAUGGCUGACUUAUGGGAAGAAAAGAAUAUGACAGAAACUGUCACUGAGGGACCCCAGAUAUUAGAAUUACUAGUCAAAGAUGUUCAUCAACUGUAUUAAUAUGCUCAGAGGGCUAGCGGAAACCACGGAAAACGGACUAAAAGAACUAGGAGAGCGAUGUAUGAACAAACAGAAACUGUCAACAGAGAUAGAAAUGAUAACAAGGAACCAAAUAGAAACUCGGGAACUGAAAAACACAAUAGCUGAAAUUAAAGCAUUCACUGGAAGGAUUCAGCAGCAGACUUGAGCAGGCAGAAUUAGCAAAGGUGAAGAGAAGGCAGUUGAACUUAUCCAGUCUGAGGAGCACAAGUAAGAAAAGAACAGAACCUACGGGACCCAUGGGACACCAUCAGAAAUACCAAUGCACGCAUAUAGGAAUCCCAACAAGAGAGAAAAAGGGAAAACAAAACAAAACAAAAAAACAAACAAAAAACCCUAAAGAAAUAAUGGCCGGGAAAUGAGGAAGCACAUCAAAAGCCAAAAUGGGCCAAAUGCCAGGCCUCUUGCACCAAACAGUUGGCCAAGUUGUGAAUGCAAAGGAAAAGUUAUUGAAGGAAAUUAAAAGAGCUUCUCCAUUAAACACACACAAAAAAGUGAAACAGCCUUAUUGCGGCGGAUAGGGAGAAGGUUUGAGUGAUCUGGAUACGAGAUCAAAUGAGAU